rnacentral:rRNA from 1 species
UACGUAGGGUGCAAGCGUUGUCCGGAAUUAUUGGGCGUAAAAGAGCUCGUAGGCGGUUUUGUCGCGUCUGCUGUGAAAACCCGAGGCUCAACCUCGGGCCUGCAGUGGGUACGGGCAGACUAGAGUGCGGUAGGGGGAGAUUGGAAUUCCUGGUGUAGCGGUGGAAAUGCGCAGAUAUCAGGGAGGAACACCAAACGGCGAAGGCAGCUCUCUGGGACGUUACUGACGCUGAGACGCGAAAGCGUGGGGAGCAAACAGGAU